CUCUGAUUAGCUGAAAAUAGAGCUGUUUCAAUAAUCUUUUUUUUUUUUGGUUAAGACAUAAUUUUUGCUAAUGAAUGGAUGCGUCCAUCAGAAUGUUUCAGCAGCUAUCUGUCUUCUUUUAGGACUGACUCAAUACCUGUAAAGACAACGCGAUGUCAUGGGCUGCAUCCUCUAUGGCCUGGGACAGAGUUCUGCCAGUUUGCCAUCCCAAUAAAGCUCUAAAGGGCCGGCAGAGGUAAUACUGCAUGUGCCAGGAUUCCACCUCGUCCAAAACUGCACAUGUUCCCAUACUGUACAAGCGGGAAACACAAAUCCAUCCACUCAAGUAAGUGAUAGAGCAGACAGACCACCCCGCAGCCUUGAAGGAUCAGCUCCAGCACAGAAUCUUCACUCAGAAUCCUCCUGUGUUGCUGGGGAAUCAACAGUGGUGGCAGCUGGUGUCUGGAUAACUUCUGUUUUGUGUCUGGAAGGGAAGAAGACAGCUGAUCCCAGGGGACACCUAGAUCAGCUUCUUGCUCGUUAGUGAGUGCUGAGGAGGAUCCCAUCCCUUUCCUUGCCUUCUUACAGAAGGAUGAUUUAUGACAAUGACUGUUCAGUAUUGGAAAUUUACUGUAAGUGUCCUAGUUUAGUGGUGGGCUGGCCAGCUUUGGCAGGGAACGCUUUCUGAAGACCUGUUCUUUAAGUGUCCAGCAUGGAUUGUCUUAUGUUAUCCUCUUCAGCAGGCCCACACUGUUUACUUUAGCUGCAUAUAAGUUAACUCACUGGUUAAUGUAGCAAGAAAUUAGGCUAUUCAGCUUGUAUAAAUAUCCCUUAUAUCUUACUAUGUAUUGGCUGUUGCAGAGUUCUUAUUUCUAUUUUAAUACAAAUGUUACAUAUUUUUUAGGAAGGAUUCCCAAUUGAUUGACGCUUGUACAAACUUAUAUAAGUUUUUAAAGAUUAAAAGAGGGAUUUUAGAUUUUAUUUUUUAAAAUUAGAACCUUUCCUUUUACUUUUCAAGAUCUUCAGCUAUUGCUUUCCCCAAACUCUUCAACUUUCUAGGUGUGCCUUAUUUCUCUCCAUUAGAUGACAUGUGCAUUUAUCUGUGAUAAAAUACUGCAGCUGAGUUCUCAAGAAUUCGUUUGACCUAAUUUUCUCUUUGAUUUGCAUUUUAAAUGGUUACAUACAGCCUUAGUUGAGUUUUUAAGCAUCAGAAGGAAAAAAAGAGCAUUUUGAAUACAAGGGCUCUUGACUUUUUGAGGCUGUUCUAGGUUGCUCUAAAAUUUGUAGCAGUGUUUAUUUCCAUGACAAACAUCUUUUUUUUUUACCAUGACUAGCAUCUUUUUAAAGAAUUUGCUUUAUGCAGCUGCAUCUGUAACUAAUACACCGUCAUCCAAUAAACAAAUACAUAAAUAGAUACA
rnacentral:lncRNA from 1 species